rnacentral:rRNA from 1 species
AUUGAACGCUGGCGGCAUGCUUUACACAUGCAAGUCGAACGGCAGCGCGGGCUUCGGCCUGGCGGCGAGUGGCGAACGGGUGAGUAAUACAUCGGAACGUGCCCAGUAGUGGGGGAUAGCUCGGCGAAAGCCGGAUUAAUACCGCAUACGACCUGAGGGUGAAAGCGGGGGAUCUUCGGACCUCGCGCUAUUGGAGCGGCCGAUGGCAGAUUAGCUAGUUGGUGGGGUAAAGGCCUACCAAGGCGACGAUCUGUAGCUGGUCUGAGAGGACGACCAGCCACACUGGGACUGAGACACGGCCCAGACUCCUACGGGAGGCAGCAGUGGGGAAUUUUGGACAAUGGGCGAAAGCCUGAUCCAGCAAUGCCGCGUGUGUGAUGAAGGCCUUCUGGUUGUAAAGCACUUUUGGCGGGAACGAAAAGGACUGUGCCAAUACCACGGUUCGAUGACGGUACCCGCAGAAUAAGCACCGGCUAACUACGUG